ACUUAAAUAGCUUAAUUUAAGAGCAUAUUAUUGAAGAUAAUAAGGUAAAAUAUUUUUUUUGAGUA
rnacentral:tRNA from 1 species